rnacentral:lncRNA from 1 species
GAACAUUGAUGUUCAAAUACCAUGCUGUUGCUUGCUGUUGUUUUUGAUGAACAUGAUGAUGAUGAAUAUGCCAAUGCUGCUGUUUCGAAACUUACCAUGUCCAGAAUUUUUCUCAUGAUUUUGUUGGUUUGAUUGUUAGUUAAUAUUGCAUGAUGAGGACGUUUCAUGGCCCUGAUUAUUGAAUGUUGCUGUGUUCAUGUGCUGUUGAUUUAAAU